UGGCUGAGUGGUUAAGCACUUGGCUGCUAAUCAAAAGGUCGGCAGUUCGAAUCCACC
rnacentral:tRNA from 1 species